rnacentral:tRNA from 2 species
GCUGGGGUAGCUCAGUAGGUAGAGCAUUUCCAUGGUAAGGAAAAGGUCGUGGGUUCGAUUCCCACUCCCAGCU